AAGAAAUUAGUUAAACAAAUAACAUUAAUAUGUCAUAUUAAAAUUAUUAAUUUCAAUAUAAUAUUUCUUU
rnacentral:tRNA from 1 species